rnacentral:rRNA from 1 species
UGUCCGAUCCUGAAGUCGGUGCGCUAACCGCAAGGAGGCAGCCGCCCACGGAACGGGGGAUGAUUGGGGUGAAGUCGUAACAAGGUAGCCGUAGGUGAACCUGCAGAAGGAUCA